rnacentral:rRNA from 1 species
GACGAACGCUGUCGGCGUGCUUAACACAUGCAAGUCGAACGGAAAGGCCCUGCUUUUGUGGGGUGCUCGAGUGGCGAACGGGUGAGUAACACGUGAGUAACCUGCCCUUGACUUUGGGAUAACUUCAGGAAACUGGGGCUAAUACCGGAUAGGAGCUCCUGCUGCAUGGUGGGGGUUGGAAAGUUUCGGCGGUUGGGGAUGGACUCGCGGCUUAUCAGCUUGUUGGUGGGGUAGUGGCUUACCAAGGCUUUGACGGGUAGCCGGCCUGAGAGGGUGACCGGCCACAUUGGGACUGAGAUACGGCCCAGACUCCUACGGGAGGCAGCAGUGGGGAAUAUUGCACAAUGGGCGGAAGCCUGAUGCAGCAACGCCGCGUGCGGGAUGACGGCCUUCGGGUUGUAAACCGCUUUCGCCUGUGACGAAGCGUGAGUGACGGUAAUGGGUAAAGAAGCACCGGCUAACUACGUGCCAGCAGCCGCGGUGAUACGUAGGGUGCGAGCGUUGUCCGGAUUUAUUGGGCGUAAAGGGCUCGUAGGUGGUUGAUCGCGUCGGAAGUGUAAUCUUGGGGCUUAACCCUGAGCGUGCUUUCGAUACGGGUUGACUUGAGGAAGGUAGGGGAGAAUGGAAUUCCUGGUGGAGCGGUGGAAUGCGCAGAUAUCAGGAGGAACACCAGUGGCGAAGGCGGUUCUCUGGGCCUUUCCUGACGCUGAGGAGCGAAAGCGUGGGGAGCGAACAGGCUUAGAUACCCUGGUAGUCCACGCUGUAAACGGUGGGUACUAGGUGUGGGGUCCAUUCCACGGGUUCCGUGCCGUAGCUAACGCUUUAAGUACCCCGCCUGGGGAGUACGGCCGCAAGGCUAAAACUCAAAGGAAUUGACGGGGCCCCGCACAAGCGGCGGAGCAUGCGGAUUAAUUCGAUGCAACGCGUAGAACCUUACCUGGGUUUGACAUGGAUCGGGAGUGCUCAGAGAUGGGUGUGCCUCUUUUGGGGUCGGUUCACAGGUGGUGCAUGGCUGUCGUCAGCUCGUGUCGUGAGAUGUUGGGUUAAGUCCCGCAACGAGCGCAACCCUUGUUCACUGUUGCCAGCACGUUAUGGUGGGGACUCAGUGGAGACCGCCGGGGUCAACUCGGAGGAAGGUGGGGAUGACGUCAAGUCAUCAUGCCCCUUAUGUCCAGGGCUUCACGCAUGCUACAAUGGCUGGCACAGAGAGUGGCGAGCCUGUGAGGGUGAGCGAAUCUCGGAAAGCCGGUCUCAGUUCGGAUUGGGGUCUGCAACUCGACCUCAUGAAGUCGGAGUCGCUAGUAAUCGCAGAUCAGCAACGCUGCGGUGAAUACGUUCCCGGGGCU